UACGAAGGUGGCAAGCGUUGUUCGGAUUUACUGGGCGUAAAGGGAGCGUAGGUGGUUAGGUAAGCCCUCCGGGAAAUCUUCAGGCUUAACCUGAAAAGGUCGGGGGGGACUGCCUGGCUAGAGGACGGGAGAGGAGCGCGGAAUUCCCGGUGUAGCGGUGAAAUGCGUAGAGAUCGGGAGGAAGGCCGGUGGCGAAGGCGGCGCUCUGGACCGGUUCUGACGCUGAGGCGCGAAAGCGUGGGGAGCAAACGGG
rnacentral:rRNA from 1 species